AAAAAAACACAGAGAACACAUGGACGUGCCACUUCUAACUGGCUCCAAUGGUAGGUAACAUGACAUACAGAAAAUAAAAAAAGGAAGAGGAAAAUAGAGGGAAAAGCAAAAUAAAGGGGUAGGGAAAAGCAGAAGAGACAGAGCAGUAAAAUAGGAUCCUUACCUCGGAAACCAGUGCUACCCAUGAACCCCGCUGGACAGAAGAAGGCUAGCAUCCCGGAGGGAGAGGGGAGACUAUACCUUUCAGAGAAAAGGGCGGAUCAAGGAAGGUGCAGACGGAAAAAUUCAGAUGGAAAAAUACAAAUUACAUGAAACAAGCUUGAGAGAUGGUUCAGAAGUCUAUCAUAAUCCAAAUCCAAUAAUAAUGUGACUGAGAACACACCUACUAAAAAAAUCCCCCCAAAAAAGAUUUUCACAUGCUAAAAAAAAUAUAUUUGCUGAGGAGCUUCUAUAUUUGGCUCACAAAUCCCUGUCUUCUACUGCUCCCUCAUUCUUACAUCCACUGCUCAGGAAGGAGAGUGUCUGAGGCAAGCAUUGAGCCCACCUUCACUGACCAUGCAUUCACUUCCUCCCUGAGUCUGCUUUGCUGUGCUGGAUCUCUAUCUAAUCACUGCAGACUGGUCUAUAACCUCCUCCUUACUGUUUACAUGCUGCAAUCUGAUAGACAGGACAGGAGGGAGCUCAGAGAAGUUCUAGUCCUGUCCUCACUUUCUGGACUUUUUCCCUUUCUGUGCUUCAGCUGGGACAAAUGUGAUGCUGCAGCAGCACAGGAUUAUGUUCUGGAUGGUAUGGGGACCCCUAAUGGUGUUUUUUUUAUAUAAGCCAUUUCUAUAAAAAUAAGAUAAAACAUUUUUUAUGAAGUAUAUUAGAAAGGAUAAUGUUUUGCCAAGAUGGACAACAUAUAAUACAUGCUCAGUUAAUUUGGAAAGCUAAAAAUAAACAAAAAAAAACUGCAAUUUAUAGUGCUACAAAAAAAAAUUGUUAAACUGCAACAAUAUACAGGCAUGGCAGUUUAAUGGAACUUUAAUUAUAAAAGUAACAUUUUUCAAUGCCAUAGCUAUGCUUCAUCAAGCCAGUAUGGAGAAAAGUACACAAAACAAUAAUAUAUUAUACAGUUAAAAAAAAAAAGAAGGAAGGAAAAAAACAUAGGAGUUCGUGAUCA